rnacentral:rRNA from 1 species
UUGAGCUAACCCAUACUAAUUACCCGUGAGGCUUAACCAUACAACACCCAAGAAGUGUUCUG